rnacentral:rRNA from 1 species
AUGUCCCCAUGUGAGAAGCACGACAAGGCAUCUGAGAGGCUUGUCACCUUUGAAGGAACAGACACAGGAAGAAGGUCCUUAGCAUGUGCAGAGCCGGAAGGGCAGAAUUGUGGCUUUGUUGAAUGGGUUGAUCACCAGUGGCCCCCAACAAUGCAGAAUGCAUUGUUGAAGCUGUGGGCAAUGGUUGAAGAUAGCAAGAGUGCGAGGAUGAAUGAUAAUCUUGAAAGUGCUUUAACUAUUCACCAUCUGACAGAAGAGAAGAACAAGCUAGAGGCCAACUAUGACAAAAGUGAACUGGCGGCUGAUAUGAAGGCAGAGAUGGCAAAGAAAGAUGCAGAGACCCAGAAGCUUAAUCAGAAGUAUGAACUGCUGGUGAACCUGACAAGAGCUCAAGCAACAAUCAUCUAG